CCUACGGGAGGCAGCAGUAGGGAAUAUUGCUCAAUGGGGGAAACCCUGAAGCAGCAACGCCGCGUGGAGGAUGAAGUUUUUCGGAUUGUAAACUCCUUUUGUUAGAGAAGAUAAUGACGGUAUCUAACGAAUAAGCACCGGCUAACUCCGUGCCAGCAGCCGCGGUAAUACGGAGGGUGCAAGCGUUACUCGGAAUCACUGGGCGUAAAGAGCGCGUAGGCGGGAUAGCAAGUCAGAGGUGAAAUCCUAUGGCUUAACCAUAGAACUGCAUUUGAAACUGUUAUUCUAGAGUAUGGGAGAGGUAGGUGGAAUUCUUGGUGUAGGGGUAAAAUGCGUAGAGAUCAAGAGGAAUACUCAUUGCGAAGGCGACCUGCUAGAACAUAACUGACGCUGAUGCGCGAAAGCGUGGGGAGCAAACAGGAUUAGAUACCCGAGUAGUC
rnacentral:rRNA from 1 species